rnacentral:rRNA from 1 species
UACGUAGGGUGCAAGCGUUGUCCGGAAUUAUUGGGCGUAAAGAGCUCGUAGGCGGUCUGUCACGUCGGCUGUGAAAACUCGGGGCUCAACUCCGAGCUUGCAGUCGAUACGGGCAGGCUAGAGUUCGGCAGGGGAGACUGGAAUUCUCGGUGUAGCAGUGAAAUGCGUAGAUAUCGAGAGGAACACCAGUGGCGAAGGCGAGUCUCUGGACAUUUCCUGACGCUCAGGCACGAAAGCCAGGGGAGCAAACGGG